UACGUAGGGUGCAAGCGUUGUCCGGAAUUAUUGGGCGUAAAGAGCUCGUAGGCGGCUUGUCGCGUCGGCUGUGAAAUCCCGUGGCUCAACUGCGGGUCUGCAGCCGAUACGGGCAGGCUAGAGUUCGGUAGGGGAGACUGGAAUUCCUGGUGUAGCGGUGAAAUGCGCAGAUAUCAGGAGGAACACCGGUGGCGAAGGCGGGUCUCUGGGCCGAUACUGACGCUGAGGAGCGAAAGCGUGGGAGCGAACAGG
rnacentral:rRNA from 1 species